GUAGGUGGCAAGCGUUAUCCGGAUUUAUUGGGCGUAAAGCGAGCGCAGGCGGUUGCUUAGGUCUGAUGUGAAAGCCUUCGGCUUAACCGAAGAAGUGCAUCGGAAACCGGGCGACUUGAGUGCAGAAGAGGACAGUGGAACUCCAUGUGUAGCGGUGGAAUGCGUAGAUAUAUGGAAGAACACCAGUGGCGAAGGCGGCUGUCUGGUCUGCAACUGACGCUGAGGCUCGAAAGCAUGGGUAGCGAACAGGAUUAGAUACCCUGGUAGUCCAUGCCGUAAACGAUGAGUGCUAGGUGUUGGAGGGUUUCCGCCCUUCAGUGCCGGAGCUAACGCAUUAAGCACUCCGCCUGGGGAGUACGACCGCAAGGUUG
rnacentral:rRNA from 2 species